rnacentral:rRNA from 1 species
CGUGUUGUGAGAUGUUGGGUUAAGUCCCGCAACGAGCGCAACCCUUGUCCUUAGUUUCCAGCACGUAAGGGUGGGCACUUUAAGGAGACUGCCGGUGACAAACCGGAGGAAGGUGGGGAUGACGUCAAGUCAUCAUGGCCCUUACGGCCAGGGCUACACACGUGUUCCAAUGGUGGGUACAAAGGGUUGCCACCCCGCGAGGUGGAGCAAAUCCCAAAAACCCGAUUUCAGUCCGGAUUGGAGUCUGCAACUCGACUCCAUGAAGUCGGAAUCGCU